rnacentral:rRNA from 1 species
AGAGUUUGAUCCUGGCUCAGGAUGAACGCUAGCGACAGGCUUAACACAUGCAAGUCGAGGGGCAGCACAGGUAGCAAUACCGGGUGGCGACCGGCGCACGGGUGAGUAACGCGUAUGCAACUUACCUAUCAGAGGGGGAUAACCCGGCGAAAGUCGGACUAAUACCGCAUGAAGCAGGGGCCCCGCAUGGGGAUAUUUGCUAAAGAUUCAUCGCUGAUAGAUAGGCAUGCGUUCCAUUAGGCAGUUGGCGGGGUAACGGCCCACCAAACCGACGAUGGAUAGGGGUUCUGAGAGGAAGGUCCCCCACAUUGGUACUGAGACACGGACCAAACUCCUACGGGAGGCAGCAGUGAGGAAUAUUGGUCAAUGGACGAAAGUCUGAACCAGCCAAGUAGCGUGAAGGAUGACUGCCCUAUGGGUUGUAAACUUCUUUUAUACGGGAAUAAAGUUAGCCACGUGUGGCUUUUUGUAUGUACCGUAUGAAUAAGGAUCGGCUAACUCCGUGCCAGCAGCCGCGGUAAUACGGAGGAUCCGAGCGUUAUCCGGAUUUAUUGGGUUUAAAGGGUGCGUAGGCGGCCUUUUAAGUCAGCGGUGAAAGUCUGUGGCUCAACCAUAGAAUUGCCGUUGAAACUGGGGGGCUUGAGUAUGUUUGAGGCAGGCGGAAUGCGUGGUGUAGCGGUGAAAUGCAUAGAUAUCACGCAGAACCCCGAUUGCGAAGGCAGCCUGCCAAGCCAUGACUGACGCUGAUGCACGAAAGCGUGGGGAUCAAACAGGAUUAGAUACCCUGGUAGUCCACGCAGUAAACGAUGAUCACUAGCUGUUUGCGAUACACUGUAAGCGGCACAGCGAAAGCGUUAAGUGAUCCACCUGGGGAGUACGCCGGCAACGGUGAAACUCAAAGGAAUUGACGGGGGCCC